ACGGAGGGGGCUAACGUUGUUCGGAAUUACUGGGCGUAAAGCGCGCGUAGGCGGAUUAGACAGUUGAGGGUGAAAUCCCGGAGCUUAACUCCGGAACUGCCUUCAAUACUACUAAUCUUGAGUUCGGAAGAGGUGAGUGGAAUUCCUAGUGUAGAGGUGAAAUUCGUAGAUAUUAGGAAGAACAUCAGUGGCGAAGGCGACUCACUGGUCCGAUACUGACGCUGAGGUGCGAAAGCGUGGGGAGCAAACAGG
rnacentral:rRNA from 1 species